CCGGGGCGCUUAGCAGCGACGUGCAGGGCACCGCUGCAGAGCCUUGCGGCCCGGGGCGCGGGCUGGGGGAGCCGCAAAAGUUAAAAAAACAAAACAAAACGAAAGUUAAAUGAAUAUGACAAAAGUCCAAAGAAGAUCCCCUCCCUUUGUGAGAAGAGCUGCUGCAGAAACUGGUUCAGAAAGAGGAUGUGUUGGCAGCGCCCCCGCAAGGACAAACAGGGAGGGGAGCCGGCUCAGGUGUAGUUGAAGAAAUGGGGCUGCAGAAGUUGUUGAUUUGGCACAGGUGGCCAGCCAGCAGUCUAGGGCACCGCUCAGAGGUUGUGGACAAUUCAGCAGAUGUUUUUCCAGCAUGGAAUCUGAGGAGCAGAAUAAGAUGGUGGCAUGAGCAGAGACUUCUAAGAUGAGAUUUUCCAAAAUAUGGCUGCCCAAUGUCAUGAUGACAUCUUCCUUCAAAAGUAA